rnacentral:rRNA from 14 species
UUUAAGGAAACUGCCGGUGAUAAGCCGGAGGAAGGUGGGGAUGACGUCAAGUCCUCAUGGCCCUUACAGGUUGGGCUACACACGUGCUACAAUGGCAUCUACAGUGAGUUAAUCUCCAAAAGAUGUCUCAGUUCGGAUUGGGGUCUGCAACUCGACCCCAUGAAGUCGGAAUCGCUAGUAAUCGCGUAACAGCAUGACGCGGUGAAUACGUUCCCGGGCCUUGUACACACCGCCCGUCACACCAUGGGAGUUGGUUCUACCCGACGACGCUGCGCUAACCCUUCGGGGAGGCAGGCGGCCACGGUAGGAUCAGCGACUGGGGUGAAGUCGGAACAAGGUAGCCGUAGGGGAACCUGCGGCUGGAUCACCUCCUU